AGCUUUGUGCAGUGGCAGUAUCAUAGCCAAUGAGGUUUAUCCGAGGCAUGAUUAUUGCUAAUUGAAAAUUUUCCUAAUACCCUGCCAUGAAGACUUGAAAUAUAGUUGGCAUUGGCAAUUUUUGAGAGUCUCUAUGGAGA
ensembl:snRNA U4 U4 spliceosomal RNA